UUGCCCCUUUUGCCCCCUCGCCCCCCGGGCCACCUAUGGGAGGGGCAAAAGGAGCAGCUGCCCCAGGGCUGGCGAUUUAAAAGGGCCCGGGGCUCUGGCGCCCCGGGCCCUUUAAAUCGCCACUAGAGCC